rnacentral:rRNA from 1 species
CAUGCAGUCGAGGGGUAACGGGGUGCUUGCACCGCCGACGACCGGCGCACGGGUGCGUAACGCGUAUACAAUCUACCUUGUAGAGGGGAAUAGCCCAGAGAAAUUUGGAUUAAUGCCCCAUAGUAUUAUGAAAUAGCAUUAUUUUAUAAUUAAACAUUUAUGGCUACAAGAUGAGUAUGCGUUCUAUUAGUUAGUAGGUAAGGUAACGGCUUACCUAGACUUCGAUAGAUAGGGGUCCUGAGAGGGAGAUCCCCCACACUGGUACUGAGACACGGACCAGACUCCUACGGGAGGCAGCAGUGAGGAAUAUUGGACAAUGGGCGAGAGCCUGAUCCAGCCAUGCCGCGUGCAGGAAGACGGCCCUAUGGGUUGUAAACUGCUUUUAUAGAGGAAGAAACACUCCUACGUGUAGGAGCUUGACGGUACUCUACGAAUAAGGAUCGGCUAACUCCGUGCCAGCAGCCGCGGUAAUACGGAGGAUCCAAGCGUUAUCCGGAAUCAUUGGGUUUAAAGGGUCCGUAGGCGGGACAAUCAGUCAGCGGUGAAAGUCUGUGGCUCAACCAUAGAAUUGCCAUUGAUACUGUUGUUCUUGAAUACUUAUGAAGUGGUUGGAAUAUGUAGUGUAGCGGUGAAAUGCAUAGAUAUUACAUAGAACACCGAUUGCGAAGGCAGAUCACUAAUAAGUCAUUGACGCUGAUGGACGAAAGCGUAGGUAGCGAACAGGAUUAGAUACCCUGGUAGUCUACGCCGUAAACGAUGGUUACUAGCUGUUCGGUUGCAAGACUGAGUGGCUAAGCGAAAGUGAUAAGUAACCCACCUGGGGAGUACGUUCGCAAGAAUGAAACUCAAAGGAAUUGACGGGGGCCCGCACAAGCGGUGGAGCAUGUGGUUUAAUUCGAUGAUACGCGAGGAACCCUUACCAGGCUUAAAUGUAGAUUGACAGGGGUGGAACACCUUUUCCCUUCGGGCAAUUUACA